rnacentral:rRNA from 1 species
AGAAUGAACGUUGGCGGCGUGGAUUAGGCAUGCAAGUCGAGCGCGAUGAGUUUGGUAGCUUGCUAUUGAACUCGGAAAGCGGCGAAAGGGAGAGUAACGCGUAGUUACGUGCCCCAGGGUUCGGAAUAGCCACGGGAAACUGUGGGUAAUGCCGAAUAACAUCUCCGGAUCAAAGGUGUGAUUCCGCCCUGGGAGCGGACUG